UGGGGAAUAUUGCACAAUGGGCGCAAGCCUGAUGCAGCCAUGCCGCGUGUGUGAAGAAGGCCUUCGGGUUGUAAAGCACUUUCAGCGAGGAGGAAGGUGGUGAGCUUAAUACGCUCAUCAAUUGACGUUACUCGCAGAAGAAGCACCGGCUAACUCCGUGCCAGCAGCCGCGGUAAUACGGAGGGUGCAAGCGUUAAUCGGAAUUACUGGGCGUAAAGCGCACGCAGGCGGUUUGUUAAGUCAGAUGUGAAAAUCCCCCGGGCUCAACCUGGGAACUGCAUUUGAAAACUGGCAAGCUAGAGUCUCGUAGAGGGGGGUAGAAUUCCAGGUGUAGCGGUGAAAUGCGUAGAGAUCUGGAGGAAUACCGGUGGCGAAGGCGGCCCCCCUGGACGAAGACUGACGCUCAGGUGCGAAAAGCGUGGGGAGCAAAACAGGAUUAGAUACCCUGGUAGUCCACGCUGUAAACGAUGUCGAUUUUGGAGGUUGUGCCCUUGAGGCGUGGCUUCCGGAGCUAACGCGUUAAA
rnacentral:rRNA from 1 species